UGGGGAAUAUUGCACAAUGGGGGAAACCCUGAUGCAGCGACGCCGCGUGAACGAAGAAGGUAUUCGUAUCGUAAAGUUCUGUCCUAUGGGAAGAUAAUGACAGUACCAUAGAAGAAAGCUCCGGCUAAAUACGUGCCAGCAGCCGCGGUAAUACGUAUGGAGCGAGCGUUGUCCGGAAUUAUUGGGCUUAAAGGGUACGCAGGCGGUUUAAUAAGUCGAAUGUUAAAGAUCGGGGCUCAACCCCGCAAAGCAUUGGAAACUGAUAAAAUUGAGUAGUGGAGAGGAAAGUGGAAUUCCUAGUGUAGUGGAGAAAUACGUAGAUAUUAGGAGGAAUACCAGUAGCGAAGGCGACUUUCUGGACACAAACUGACGCUGAGGUACGAAAGCGUGGGGAGCAAACAGG
rnacentral:rRNA from 1 species